UCGGGGGGUCUGGUGGUCACUCUGUGGGGAGGUGCACGGUUGGCCUCCUCUGGGACGGCCCGUUGGCUGCACUGACGCAGGUGGCCGUGGCCCCUCUGGGCUGCUUUCCCCCAGUCUUCUCUGAGGAUCCCCCUCGCUCACCCCCAAAGCUGGUGCUCCUCAGCCCCUCCUCCUGUGACCUUUGGGCCCCCUUCUCAGCGGACCUCAUGUCCUCCCUGUGUUUACUACUAACUCGAAGCUGGUGAGCCCCCCACGUAAUGCCUCCACGCCACCUUCCGAAAUCCUGACACGCCUGCUGGACGGGAGGGUCUCCCCUUGGACCCCUCACGGGGACCUCGGACUUCACCGCCUGAGCUGAGUCCCGGAGCGGCCCUGAGUGCCGGUGCCCCAGGCCUCCUCCCCACGUCAGAGGCCGUGCUGCCCGCCGCAAUCCCCGUGGACACAACAGGCAGAGGGACAUUUAAAAGACAUGAGUGGGGUCGGAUCAC